AUACACUUCAGGGGGCCGGGGAUUUAGCUCAGUGGUCCCUCCACCUGCUUCACAAGUGCAAGGUCCUGAGUUCGAUUCCCGAUACCAAAAAAUAAAUAAAUAAAUAAAUAAAUAAAUAAAUAAAAAUAAUACAAAUAUAUACACUCUUCAGAGGUUCGGCACUUCUCUUCAUCUACAGAACCCGACGACAGCUCUCAAAUUUAAUAAAGUUUUCAAUGGUAAUUGCUUCUUACAGAACAUUUAUUACGUGUUAGGCCUGGAGCAACGUGAGCUCUUCACAUACACCAUCUGGCGUAAUCCUCCUGCAGCCUGUGACGUGGACAGGGGUUAGCAUUUCCCAAGCGCACAGCCACAUGGGAAAAAGCCAGAACCUCGGACUGCCAAACACUACGCUCUUGGCUCGAGGCCCCCAAGUGGUGUGUAAAGAUCAUCGCUCCCGCACAGCAUGAAUUUCUCAUUUGACGACUGCCUGGAAGGUGUUAAAAACAAAAAAACCCUUUCUGUAAGAAGAUGUACGCAUUUAUACGCUAAGUGUCCAGCCUUAUCCACUGCUUAAAACUCCCACCAUCUGGAAAAUGAAGUUGCUCUUAGAAAUUUAUGCUGAUCAGGGCAGCUGGCGCCGGUUCACGGGCAGCACCAAGCCCAGAGCCGGUCGUGAAAACUGUAUUUGCAAAGCCCGGACUAAGCACCUACCCAGCCUGUCCCGACAGCUCGUCUAUACUUUUUACGGCCGUCCCAGCCCGGGUCCUGGAUGAAACACAGGCCACACGCGACCUGGGCAGUUCCAGGAAAGUGAGAAGGGGCCGAGGGUGGCCAAGCUCACAGUCGGCGGUGAGACCCAGAGCCCUGGAGGUCAGCAAGAGGGCACUGACCCACCUCCGCCCGUCUGUUCAGGGGAGCCCUGGAACUCCUGGUCAGGGGAAGUGGGCAAGAACAGGAAAUUUAAGGGAUCCCACAGAAAUAAGUACCGCCGUCCACAGGUGAAAGCAUAUGCACACAGUCCCAAGGCGCCCCUAAAAAAGCUGACAGAACUGAUGGACGAAUCUGGCAGGAGACAAAGCCAACACACACACAGAUGAGUCCCAUCUCUGUGCUGACGCUGAAUGGGCCGAACAGGAAAUUAAGAAAACAGUCCUACGUACAAUAACGUCAACAGGUUUACUCAGGAAUAAGCUUGCCCAAGUAGCCAGACGACUCACACCCUGAGCCCUAAAGGGAAGGAGCUGGGUGCGAGGUGUGCGGACGCCCAGUGCGGUGCCGCUGGGGUGGGCUAGGGGCGCUGUUAGCGCCAGCGGAGCAGAGCUGGGGCCUUGGUGAGGCUCCGUGCAGAGAGUCUGCAGGUGGGAAGCAAGGAGAGCAAGCACCUCACCUCCCCCGGCCUCCCACCUGCCCACACCGGCGCCGCCGUGGCUCAUCCAGCACAGCAGACAAGCGUCCUCUCUGGAGCCCUGCAGCCAGCACGAGGCGGGGACAGGAAGGCCACAGAACCACCUGGUGCGGGGACAGGAAGGCCACGGAACCGCCCGGCACGGCCCGCACCCGCACCUCCUCUACCGCAGAUCCUUCUCACACCGCUGGCCCGCUCCUGCCCACCCCACAGCACCCUCCAGGGAUGCUCUCCAGAGUCAGCCCCCCAGAGCUGCGCGUGGGGGCGCACACCUGACAUCUCGGCACCUUGGGGGGCUGAGGCAGGAGGAUCACACAUUCGAACCCAGACUGGGCAACUUAGCGAGAUCCCAUCUUGAAAUAAGAAGCAAAAAAGAGCCGGGGAGGUGGCUUGGCACAAAGGUCCUCGGUUCGAGGCUCAGGACCCUCCCCCAACACACGAAGUCCACGCAAGCAGCACUCGGUCAGGAGGCCCACGCAAAACCUGGCCCAUGCAACCCACCAAGCUGUCAGCUGCCCCCCGGAGCACACGAGUCACACAUGACAGCCAACCCCGUGGCUCUGCCUCUGAAAGCAGACUGCCUCUGCAGCAAGAAAGGACUUUUAGAAGAGCAAAUGGCACAAGUCAGGGAUAGUGGCGAGGCCUGUAAUCCCAACUCUUGGGAGGCUGAGGCAGGAGGACUGCAAAUUCAAGGCCAGCCUGGGCUACAUCGUGGAGCCUGUCUCAAAAACACAAAAAACAAAGAGAAAAAAACGUCCAAGUGAGCCCACUUCCUCCGGAAAGCCCCCAAAGCCUGCUCCACCCCCACCUGGAAAGGCCAGUUCCGGGAGACUGGGAGGGAGCGGCGGUGCAGAGCUGGCCAACACGGGCCCAGUGUGCGGCAGGGACGUGGCCAGGGCCACAGGGUGGCCCUCGGGGUGAGCGUGGAGAGUGACUCUGUGGGCCCCGCCCUUUGAGCUUUACAGAACUAUCCAGCCAUGGCUGUUGCUGUGUUGAUGUUUUGAGGGUCUCACUACGUAGCUUAGACUGGCUUUACACUCACAGCAAUCCUCCUGCCUCAGCCUCCUGUGUGCUGGGAUUACAGGUGUGCACCACCACACUUGGCUUCUAACCAGCUCUGAAAAGUCUGCACAUAUAUUUCUACUUAUUCAUUUAGGUGCUAGGGGUUGACCCCAGGACCGCAUGGAUAUGCCCCCCCGGCGCACAAACGUUCCCUAGGGCGUCCCUCAGAACUGGCAGAGGCGACUGAGCCUAUGCCGUGGAUGCACUGCACGCCCACUCACUCACCUACCCCAGAGCUGGCGGAGGGUCACAGCUUUCCGCCCCCUCCCGAAUGCCCCGGGGCUUGGGAGCUUCUGGUCCUCGGCUGGGCUCGGCCAGCGCCCCUGUCUCCCUAAGACUGGGAGCUCCCGCACGGCAGGCUUCUGUCUGCGUCAUUCACUGCUGCAGCCCAGCCGGCGCCGAGAAGUCAGCCACCACAUGUUUGUUGAAUGAAGGAAUGAACAUAAAUGAAGUUGGCCUCUGCUAAUGAGUCUAUGAUUUUUUUUUCUUGAGACAAGGUCUUGCUAAACUGCCCAGGCUGGUCUCAAACUUGCAACCCUCCUGCCUCAGCCUCCCAAGUAGCUGGGCUUACACAGACAUACCCCACACCCUGCUAAUCUAAGAUUCUGUGCGAGCCAGGCUUCCCCAGGUAUAGUCCUCGGCCCAGCACCACCAACUGGGAACUUUGCACAAGUUCGAAUUCUUAGGCCUCAUCCAGAGCUACUGCAUCAAAAGUCGGGUAUGCCAAGCGUUGCAGGCAGCUCUGACAGGCGCGGGGUGGGCACCAGGGCAUAGCAUCCCCGACGCCACUAGCCCUCGUGGCAAAGGCAGGAGGCGGGCAGCCAACCACUCCCUGACCCCCACACAUGCUAACCCACCCACCCUGGGCUCAGCUGAUGAUGACGCUGACGCUGCCCGGGUGGCAACACCAGGACAGGCUGGACGUCGCCCCAGGUGACCAGAGCAGCGUUCCUCGGUGACGCUGAGCGGGGGGCGGGGGGGCACAGAGACCAAAGCCAGAGCGAUCAGGCGGGUAAGCAGUCUCUGCCCGGGGCCAGGCAGAGCACGGGACGGAGGCUCCAGGAGAGAAGCCCCGUGUGGCCCAGGGUGGCUUCGGCUCCGGGCAGCGCCCCGAGCUGAGCAGCCGAAGCCCAAGCCCCUCCACUGGUCCUCACUGGGUCUCUCUCUGCUCAGGAUGCAAAGGGUGUGCGAGCGGCGUGUACGCCCCUCCGCGCAGGGCCUCCCCCCGCAGGCUCUCGGCAGGGACCCGCUGGCUCCUGGGACACAGUCCGCCGUCAGCUCACAGUCACUGUGCCCCCACCGUGGAGCGCUGUGUCCACUAAAGCUUGCUGACAAGCCCUGGAGAGCAGGCAGCUCGCCGGCUCCCGCCCGCCCGUGCCUGCGCCCCACUCGCCUCUCCUCCUCCCCGAAACGCCUUCCUCAGGCCCGGCCCUGCGCCCAGGUCUCCUGGCCACCGCCCGCGUCUGGCACGAAGUCCAGGCCGAAGGCUGGAGCCUUAAACUGUCCGGCCUGGCCGUGCACGCGGCCGGCCGGGAACCUGCAGGUGUGAGCCUCACUGCCGCGCCUGACUGCCACCCUCCUCGCUGUGUGAGACUCAGCGGGCCCCUGGAGACCAGUGAAUGCGGGCGAGGGCCGCUGAGGCCUGCAGGAGCCGGGGGUCUGCGCGGCCCCUGCCCUUGCUGCCUCCAUCCCAAGGUGCCGCAGCCCCGGCCCGGGGAGGGGACCCCGCGCCACUGUCCGCCGGCGCCCGGUGGGCAGGGCCAGGGUACCGCAGGAAUCGCUCACCACAGCCGCAAACCCUUCCAGGCAGGCCUCCCUUGGGGGCCAGGCUAGGCCAGAGCGACAGUCCGCCUCAGGGGCAGAAGGACGCCUCUGUGCGCUAGCCAAAGGAACAGGCGGAUGGUAGGGAGAGGUGAUAGACGCAGUCGGCCAGCAGACCACCUACACCUGCCGGACGGCCAAGCGCGCGGGGCGGGCAGGGGCUGCGAGGACAACCCUGGAGGGAAUGGAGAGCACUGCGGCGCUUCCCCACGAACCGUCAGCCCACUCCGGGACACAGCCGCAGGGGCGGCCCACACACUCCGGAAACGGGCAUCACAACGUCCCUCAGCACGGAGGCCGAGGCGCCACCCGGUGAACGACGCGGAACGCGGGAGCCACGCGCGACAGCACCAGGUCUGCAAGCACGCCGCUCGCUCGAGCUCAUUCUGGUGAAGAGAUUAUUGUGAGGUGUGCUGACUACAGCCCGGAGAACAGGAAGGAAAGAGAUGAGAAGCUGAUGUAAACUCACAGCUUCAAGCUAAAACAACAAAGGAAAAGAAAAAGCGGCCCCACGACCCCUCCUGCACCCUGAAGAUCAGCCACAGUGCAUUCUGCGUUUAGAACAACCAAAAAGCAGCAAGAACUUCUCUGUGGCCAGACCUGAUGCCCAUGCUUGAAAUCCCAGCUGCUGCAGUCGCUGAAGCAGGAGGAUUUCUUGAGCCCAGGAGUUUGUGGCUAGCCUGAGAGAUGUAGAGACUCCACCUCAAAAGAUAGAAAA